rnacentral:lncRNA from 1 species
ACAUAUCGAAAUAUGUCCAACUAUACCAGGGGCGAUGAGGCCACACCUAGUAUUCGCUUACAUAACUCAUAUCAUAACAUGUCCAACUAUGCCAGGGGCGAUUAGGCCACACCUGGUCUUUCCUUACAUAUACAUGAUGCCAGGGGCGAUUAGGCCACACCUGGGCUUUCUAUAUCAUACCAUGUCAUCUCAUAUCAUAUUAUCUCAUCUCAUACUGAAGGCUAAGGAUCAUCCAAUAUCCAUCCACAUCAACAACAUAUUAUGCAAUGCAUCAUAUUCGUGGAUUCUAAUGCAAAACAACCUAAUACAUAUCAUGGCAUUUCAUGAUGCAUGGAUCAUGCUCUAAAAACAUUUAAUUU